GAUUGACGUGAUGAUUUAUUUACCCAUUUUGUCUGUAAUAUCAAAUGAUGAUAUAUAAUAUACAUGCAUCACCAUCUGAUCUCUC